rnacentral:rRNA from 1 species
AUUGAACGCUGGCGGCAGGCCUAACACAUGCAAGUCGAACGAGUGGCGGACGGGUGAGUAAUGUCUGGGAAACUGCCUGAUGGAGGGGGAUAAGUACUGGAAACGGUAGCUAAUACCGCAUCCCAUCGGAUUUGACCAGAUGGGAUUAGCUAGUAGGGGGGGUAAAGGCUCACCUAGGCGACGAUCCCUAGCUGGUCUGAGAGGAUGACAAGCCACUCUGGAACUGAGACACGGUCGAGACGCCAACGGGAGGCAUCAGUGGGGCAUAUUGCACAAUGUGCGCAAGCCUGAUGCAGCCAUGCCGCGUGUAUGAAGAAGGCCUUCGGGUUGUAAAGUACUUUCAGCGUGGAGGCGUUACCCGCAGAAGAAGCCCCGGCUAACUCCGUGCCAGCAGCCGCGGUAAUUC